UAGGGAAUCUUCCACAAUGGACGAAAGUCUGAUGGAGCAACGCCGCGUGAGUGAAGAAGGGUUUCGGCUCGUAAAACUCUGUUGUUAAAGAAGAACAUAUCUGAGAGUAACUGUUCAGGUAUUGACGGUAUUUAACCAGAAAGCCACGGCUAACUACAUGCUAG
rnacentral:rRNA from 1 species